rnacentral:rRNA from 1 species
UACGUAGGCAGCAAGCGUUGUUCGGAGUUACUGGGCGUAAAGAGUGCGUAGGUGGUGCCCUAAGUCUGUUGUGAAAUCUCCCGGCUUAACUGGGAGGGUGCGGUGGAAACUGGGGUGCUUGAGUGUGGGAGAGGGUAAGCGGAAUUCCUGGUGUAGCGGUGAAAUGCGUAGAUAUCAGGAGGAACACCGGUGGUGUAGACGGCUUACUGGACCACGACUGACACUGAGGCACGAAAGCGUGGGUAGCAAACAGG